rnacentral:misc_RNA from 1 species
GGGAAAUAGCAUAGUAACCAACACCAAUCACAGUGAAAAAACAAUAGAUCCAGUCAAACAGUUUUACCAGAUUUCACAUUAGAUGACUAAAAAAAAGCCAUUCCGAAAAACCCUGAAAGACAAUAUUGACAUACAUAACAAUGAUUUUCUUCAUGGAAGUAACCAUCUAAUCUCGUGCAAGUAGUUCGUGUGCAAUGUACAUCAAAAACCAACACACUCAUUCCUCAGCAGUUAGCAACUUGCACUCUCUACAUUGAGAGUGCAAAAUAGUUACACUUCCUCACCAUAGAGCAAUGUUGGAUCUACCUAACUACAUUAAAAGUGGCACUUGGUUUGGAAAUCAUCACUGGACACUCCCCCUUUUCAUCAUACUCAGCAAACUCAUCUCCUGACAAAUCAAUGCCUUCAAAUUUCGUUCCCUCAAGAGAUUUAGCUUCCCAUUCUCCUUGGAAAACAUAAUCCAGCGGCUCAAAACCCCUGCACUCAAAUAGCAUCAAAGGUGCAGAUUUUCCAGCUUCACUAUCAGCGUGAGUCAGAGGACGGCCGCGGCCAGUGAUCAUGGUUAUUGUACCAUCCCUGCCACAGAACUUACACUUCUGGACAAGGUGGGUGUGGCCCUUGCCAAUAGGAAGAGGAACAGUUUCAACCAAGCUAACAUAAGUCUCCUUUUGGGUGAUUUCACCACAAUGGCCACACUUUAGCUUGAAGUGGUAACGGAAGUUUUCAUCAUCGCAACCGCCAUGUGGCUGAAGGUCGGUGAGGUUUUCAAGCUCCGCCUUGAUUUCCAGCAAGAAGUUCACCAUUUUUCUUUCUGAUCGCUGCUUCGAAUCAACGCUUUCACUCUGAUUCUC